rnacentral:rRNA from 1 species
AGGGAAUCUUCGGCAAUGGACGAAAGUCUGACCGGGCAACGCCGCGUGAGUGAAGAAGGUUUUCGGAUCGUAAAACUCUGUUGUUAGAGAAGAACAAGGAUGAGAGUAAAAUGUUCAUCCCUUGACGGUAUCUAACCAGAAAGCCACGGCUAACUACGUGCCAGCAGCCGCGGUAAUACGUAGGUGGCAAGCGUUGUCCGGAUUUAUUGGGCGUAAAGCGAGCGCAGGCGGUUUCUUAAUUAUGAUGUGAAAGCCCCCGGCUCAACCGGGGAGGGUCAUUGGAAACUGGGAAAAUUGAGUGCAGAAGAGGAGAGUGGAAUUCCAUGUGUAGCGGUGAAAUGCGUAGAUAUAUGGAAGAAUACCAGUGGCGAAGGCGCCCUUCUGGACUGUAACUGACACUGAGGCUCGAAAGCGUGGGGAGCAAAC